rnacentral:lncRNA from 1 species
CCCUACAUUGCCACCCCUCUUGAAUUAUUUUUUCAUAAUCUUCAUCAGCUGUGCAUUGUUCCUCGAACUGAAAACGACGCGGACUCCGAUGACGCCAAACUUCAUCUCUAGGCCGUGCAUCAGGAAUGAUGAAGAUUGGUUGAUAAUCAGAAGUGUAGGUCGAGAGAUGAUAUAUGGUAUAAUUACCCCACUAUUGAAGCAAGGCUAUAUUACAGAAACCCCUGUCUAAGCGCACUUGAACAUUUGCGUCAUCUCUGCGAUUAUUCGUCCAGGUAAAGGGGUGACCCAUAAAAUCAAAUGGUAACAGAUUACAGUCAUCAACCACCUAUUGAAAUUGUUCAAGUUGACUGAUUGAUCGAAUGUGAGGACCCUUUUUUUCAUCCACAACUAGAAUCUCAUUGAAGUCGCCACAACACAACCAUGGACCAAAACCCACCUGACUAAAUCAGCGGAGAAGCUCCCAAGAAUGAAUCCGCUGGCUAGGGUCAGGAUGACCAUAGAAUCUAGUUAUUCGAGUAACAAAGGAAUUGGGGAAAGUAACACUAACGUCAAUAUGUCCUGGAGAGGAAGAGAGCAACACAACCUGCAAACCAACCUUCCAGAGAAUACGGAGACCCCUAGAUAACCCUUCACGAGGAACACACAGGACGCCUCCCACACCAAGCCUUCGGAGUAAACCACCCAUUUGGACAGCAGUCUAAGAGUCUCAGUAAGGCAAACAAUGUCUGGUUUCUUGUCCUGGUGAAGGUUUUUGAGGUCACAGAACGUACGGCUGUUGCCAAGCCCCCGCACGUUCCAGCUUAACAUAGACAUAGAAAGAACUAAAAGAUGGAUCCACUAUAACCAUUGAUCUAAGCAGGAGAGAGGAUGCCGCACCACUAGAGCAAGAAAACCAUAACAACAUAACAAAUCAAUCAUAGAAACAUUACGGCGCUGAGUCGCCUAGGAGACUACAAAAAGAAAUCCAGAAUCGAAACAAAUAGCAACAAAGCAGGCGAUGUGAGGAGGGCAAGAGGGCAAAGAGCCCUAAACACAGCCUUGUGAGCGAGCGGGAAUAGACCAAACUCGAGUCGAGACCCAAUUGACCAUGAUGAUGGCUUGAGGCGACUAAUCCGCAGGAAAAAAAAGGGGCGAGCAGCGGGGAUGAAGCCAAGUUAUUGGGGUUAGUAGCCGGAUGACAAGAGAAGACGAUGACGAUGACAACCCAGGCGCAGAGAGAAUGACGGCAAUGGAGCACGAGAUGAUGGCGGCGAAACGCAAAGGGAAACCUUAGAUAUGACGCAAGGCUCUCCUCGCGCAGCGAGAGAGCGACCCAACAUUUAUUUACUCAAUUAUGAACUCAUUCUUCAAGCAUGCGUUAUGUGAGUUGGUUAGUGCCAUAUGUCCAACUGUUUCACUUGAAUUCAAUUUCCCCAUCCCGUAGAUUAAAGUACGCUAUACCGUUACUUAUGCGUGUUACAAACAUAAAUUAUGAACUUGAACUUUUAUUAUUCCUAAGAAGUAAAACACUCAAACAUUGUUUGAGGAAUAAAUAUAUUUU